rnacentral:rRNA from 1 species
AUUGAACGCUGGCGGCUGGCCUAACACAUGCAAGUCGAACGGUAACAGGGAUCAGCUUGCUGAUUCGCUGACGAGUGGCGGACGGGUGAGUAAUGUCUGGGAAACUGCCUGAUGGAGGGGGAUAACUACUGGAAACGGUAGCUAAUACCGCAUAACGUCGCAAGACCAAAGAGGGGGACCUUCGGGCCUCUUGCCAUCGGAUGUGCCCAGAUGGGAUUAGCUAGUAGGUGGGGUAACGGCUCACCUAGGCGACGAUCCCUAGCUGGUCUGAGAGGAUGACCAGCCACACUGGAACUGAGACACGGUCCAGACUCCUACGGGAGGCAGCAGUGGGGAAUAUUGCACAAUGGGCGCAAGCCUGAUGCAGCCAUGCCGCGUGUAUGAAGAAGGCCUUCGGGUUGUAAAGUACUUUCAGCGGGGAGGAAGGGAGUAAAGUUAAUACCUUUGCUCAUUGACGUUACCCGCAGAAGAAGCACCGGCUAACUCCGUG